rnacentral:lncRNA from 1 species
CUUAAUUAAACAAACAUCAGCACAAAACAAUAUACAGUUCCUCAUUAUGUUUAACUAAUCUUUUAGUAAGACCUUUAAGUUAAAAGUGCUAAAGUAACAGUAGAGACCUUGAAGCAAUUACGAGCUAAACGUUAUAAUAGCCUGAACACUCCGUACUUUAACUUUUUAUAUAUUAAAACACCAAGAUAUUGGCGAUUAUUUCACACAUUCCAUAUCAGCCACACGUACCAGACAGGUAAUGUUGGCAAUUAAUUGGAAAUUAUUUAGUACAUGAUGAUUGUGAGCCACUACAAGAAAAACAGACUCAGACAACACCUUUCAGACAACACAACGAAAAAAAACCGUUGCGAAAAAAGAACACACAACGGUUGCUUUUUUGACCUCGACUAUCCAUUGUCUAAACCAGGACUCAUACUACGGUUUUUAAAAGCGUUGUUAAAAAAUAUGUAAAAAAGUUUGUUUGACACAACAGUUUAUAAAGACCAUUGUUUUUCAGAAAUUCACACAAUUGUCUAUAAAACUGUUGUUAAAUAUUAUACAACGGGUUUCCAAAACCAUUGUUAUUUGCAAAGUCAGACAAUGUUGUCAAGUAACCGUUGUAAUUAAUAAACAACGGUUGGGGAAACAGUUGUGUUUGUACAUAUUACACAAUAUUCCACUAAACCGUUGUUAAAGAAUGCACAACGAUUUUAAUAAUGAGUUGUUGUAUUCAAAUUCACACAACCGUUUUUGGUAGCAUUGUUCUUUAAACCUCGCACAACAGUUUGGCUUAAUUAUAUGUAUUGUAUUGUUGUAUCAUUUUAACUCAUACAACAGAUGAGUAUAUAGAAACCGUUGUCUAUUAGAGACACUAAAAGACAAAAAUUACCUUUUUAUAAUAAGACAAAAUUUACAAUUGACUAUUUUUGUUAAAAAAACAUAUAAAACAAACAUAAAAAAAAUUAAUUUUUUUUAUACAUGACUAAUAUUGGUAGUUCUUAACAUCCGUACGGUUAGAUCAUCAAAAAAAAUAUUUAUAAAUUAUUACGGAACUAAUCUUAUAGAUAACAAAAUUUCUAACCAGUGCUUCCUAAAUUGUAAACAUAAAACACAUACUAAGAGGGGUGUAUUGGAUUGGGAUUUUAAAGAUUUUUUUGCAUUCAUGAAAUCCGAGGGUAUUCGAUUGGGAUUGUUUGAAAUCCAUUAAAAUCUUGAGGUAUUCAAUUGGGAUUUUAAAUUAUGCUUUAAAAUCCGAUGGUAUUCAAUUGGGAUUGUUUAAAAUCCAUUAAAAUCUGAUGGUAUUCAAAUGCUGAUGGAUUUUUUUUCAUUUCAUAAAAUGAUGGAUUUUGUGGCAUUCUUCAGUGUAUUUUAAGUUUUUUGAAAUCCCACCAAAUUCAAUGGGAUUUUGAAGCAUUGUACCUAAAUCCUAUCAACUCUGCGACAUUUCAUCAAGAAUCCGCACAAAAUCAAAAUCUCAUACAAUCCAUUAAAAUCCAUAGACUAAAAACAAUGCAUUAAAAUCCCAAUCGAAUACACCCCCGUAAUACUCACGUCCGAACUACAAAAUUAUCUUCUUGUUACAAAUGAACAAUACAAAUUUGCAUAUAUGUUUAAUACAAAUAUAAUUUUUAGAUAAAAAACAUAAAAAUAAGGAUUUUUCAAGGAUAAGAGAAUCUUUAACUCUUAAAAAAAAUAAUUUAUUAGACAACUGUUUUUUUCCAAUAAAUUGUUGUUUACACUACUUACAUACAACGAGUUUUGUUGAAAACGUUGUUUGAGCUUAUUUUGGACAAUAAUUUCUCUUACAAAAAUUCUCAUGGGACAAUAACCAUUGUCUAUUUACAAGAAAAUGUGGCACCACCUGAUUGGUGGAAAAUAUUUCACCUGGAUUGCUUACUUGGCAAAAUGUCACCAAUUGAUUGACUUCACCUGGAUCACUUAGUUGGCAUAAUAAGAGCCCUUGACUUUCUGAAGGUGUCACACAACGGUUUUUUAAGAAAACUGUUGUAUAAUAUCUAAUUCUUAAAUUUUUUAAUUUUAUAAUGACUUUGAAAUUGAUUUUUAAAAUUUUUAAAUUUGAAUAAUAAAAUAAUAUGACAGUCAAAAUUUAAUAAAUUUUAUCAUUUAAAAUUUGACCAUGGCUAUUAUAAACUCUUAGAUCAACCUGAACUAGGUCUAUCAUAAUCAAACAUGAUUACGCUCGAGAGCGCCCAAUGAGCGCCUUGGGAGCGCCCUAUAAGCGCCCCAGGAAAAAUUUUCAUUAACCAGCUCUACGCCUCUACCUCUCUAGAGAAACACAUUCUCUGUCUCUUCUCUCUCAAACAAACUCUCUCAUUUUCUUCACUGUGGAACAAAUUCCAGAUCUUUCUUCUCAGUCUCUUCGUCUCGUCGGCUGGGUCCGGAGCGCCCGAGAAGCGCCCUGGGAGCGCCCCAGGAGCGCCAAGUGCGCCCGAGGUGCGCUUGAGGACCUCACCAGCGUCGACCUGGGCACCAAGGAUGCCCUAAAUCGACCUGGGUGAGGUCGAAAAAUGACUUGGGCGUCAAAAAACACCCAACGCCCGAGAGCGCCAGAGAAGCGCCCUGGGAGCGUCCUAUGAGCGCCCCAGGAGCGCCAAUAGCGCCCGAGGUGCGCCUGAGGACCUCACCAGCGUCGACCUGGGCACCAAGGAUGCCCUAAAUCGACCUGGGUGAGUUCGAAAACUGACUUGGGCGUCAAAAAACACCCAACGCCCGAGAGCGCCCGAGAAGCGCCCUGGGAGCGUCCUAUGAGCGCCCCAGGAGCGCCAAUAGCGCCCGAGGUGCGCCUGAGGACCUCACCAGCGUCGACCUGGGCACCAAGGAUGCCCUAAAUCGACCUGGGUGAAGGGCAACAUACAUACUAAGUAAGAGAUAAGGGAGAGAGACAAAUAGAGAGAGAGCGACUGAGAGAUAGUAACAGUCAGAGGGAGGGACAGAGUGAGAGAGGGAGACACAUAGAGAGAUCGGGAAAUAUAUUCUAAGAGAGUGGAGAUGGAGGGAAGGAGGGAGAGAGAGAUUUUUAGGACAUUCACUGAGAAAGCAAUGUCUAAAAUGUGAGUAUUAAUUUAUGAUGGGUCCUCAUUAAUGUCUGGGCUAAUACAUUUUGCCUUUAGAAAGCCUUUCCCCUUGCUGAUUUAUCUUUAUUUGUAUAACCCUGCAGUCAUAAUCUUUAUUUUGGUGCGCAUUAUUAAUUUUGGAGUUGCUUUCUGCGCUGACAUUUUUAUGAUUGCAGUCAGAAACUCAAUUUUCCUACUAGAGCUAUGUUCUGUUUCAUGACACAAAAUAGCUUACAAUUAGUGUAUGAGGGCCUUCGAUUUGGGUCCUUCGAUUUGCAGUCUAGAGGGCCUGGUUGGCAAGUUGAGACUGGUAGAAUGGACAACUUAACUACUAGCAAAACUACAACAAACAAUAACAUUCCACCCCAACUUCCGAUUAUAUCAGCACACGUAUAUGCCUAUGUAUUAUUUUACCAUAAUGGCGAGUUCUCUCGAUAUUGCUUGAUUAAUUUGCAUAACUUGUCUUUGCUGCAGGUAUUACAAUCUCGCACAUGCAGUGAAUGAAAGAGUUUUAAGGCAGCCCUCAAUGCUACAAGCUGGAAUCUUGAGAGAUUAUCAUAUUGUAUGUUCCAUUUUUCUGAGAGACUGAUCUAAAUAAAACUUAUUCUUUGGUUUAUUGUCUUAUGUCAUUGCGAGUAGCUCUUUCUUGUUAACAUAGCAACAAGUAGAUCCUUGCCAGUCAUGUGUAGUAUUAUGGAACAUUUGAUUUUUGAUUUGUUGAUGCAGAUAAGGACAACUACGUCAACUACCACAAGAGAUUAAUUGAUUUAGUAAAUAUCAGACGGUUAUGAGGACGACAACACCAUGGGUAGUGCCCAGCCAGCUUAUACUUCAAUGAGAAAGUAUGUAAGGUACUAUAGAGACUUUGUGAUUGGGCUUAACAAAUCCUUGGUGGAUGAUUCCAGUAUUGAGAUAUGCAUGCUUGUACAAGGUUAUUUGUAGCCAUUUGAAAUGUUAUUAAUUUAGUUUGUACAAAUUAUUUUAAUCUUUUGUUAGGCAAAGAUUUGACUUUCAGUUACUUGUAUAAAUUGUAUAAGACAAUAGUUUGAUUUCUAAAGUUUUUACCAUCUCAACAAUUGUACAAAUAAAGUUCACACAACUGUUGACUCUAUUAAUGCAAGAAAACACAUUAUUUUAUCGAAAUUGUUGUGGGGAGGGAAGAAAGACAAUACUUUGUCUCAAGGGAACUAUUGAAUAACAAAUUGUUUUAAAACAUUCUUUUAUAACUAAACCGUUGAAUGGAGUAAUUUCAAACAAUAUUUUUUUUUUUGGUAUUAUUGACUAUAGGAAAGAAGGACAAUCUUUCGUCUCAGGGGAACUAUUGUCUGAAACAUAUCAGACAUGUGGUAUGCAUUUAAGAAACGCAUGAAUAACACAAGGUCUUACAACACUCUGUUACAUCAAAACAGUUGUGUAUACCAACCUUCCAACAACAUUUUCUCGUAUUUGCGUUGUUGUCUUGCAGUAAGACAGACAACGAUUGCGUACCGUUGUCUCAUCCCAGUAUCAGACGGCAUCUCAAUACUCAACGGUAUUUGAGGGUUUCAGACAACGGGUAAUUUCCGUUGUCUGAGAUUCAUGUUUAGCAGUUAACUGGGGCAAUGACAGCACCAACGACAGUAAGGCCCGUCUUCCAGGUGGUUCCAUCACAUCCAUUCAUCGAGAACUUGACAGUAUUCUCACAGCCACAGGCGCCUGUGUUGCAGAAUUCACCAACCUUAAGUCCCACCAAAGUAUUCUUUGGCUUGGUCUUCAAAUCUUCCUUGUGCUCUUCAGUAGUGCCGUUGGGACGAGUAAGCUUAAGUGUCACUGGACCGUUCAUGCAAAGAUUGUCGCUAAGCUCCACAGCCAAAUACACUCCGUAUUUCACUCCCUUGAUGAGGUUGUUGGCAUUGUACUUUCCGUCAAUUUGUAGCCAGCAUACUGUGAUCAGUUCAGCAACCUCCAGAGACUGGCAGCUGUGUGUACAAAAGUCCGAAAAACCAAAUAUUAUGUAAAACUUUAUCUCAAAUCUUUGGUCUCGAAAAAUGGAAGUCAAUAAUGUCCAGUCAUUAAAUUUUGUAGUACAAAAACACCAAAAGCUUUCCAACAUGUGCUAUACAUACCUGAUUGGGUAGGUCUUAGAAACCCAUUUCCAGUAGCGGCUGUCUGAACCCCAAACUAUUGAGAGCUCCUUUGCACUGAUAACCGCUGCGAAGGACUGGACCAAUUCAUCAACAUUAACGGAGGUAUUUCCGAAUCAAAAUAUAUCGUACAAAAUUAUAUGACUAAUUAGACUAUAAUUAAGAACAAGUCACACGCAGGUAUACUGGUGUGUGCAUGGUGCAUGAAAAUAAUACUAUUGCAGAAUUAUAAUUUCAAUAGCUUAAUUAGUAUAUAAAAAGGUACCGAAAAUUAACAACCAAAACAACUUACACUCUUGUCUUUCACAGCCUGGACACCUUGAGUCCACAACGACACGAUGUCAUCACGCUGCAAUUGAGCCAUCUUCCUUGCUAGUUGAGAAUAAGAAGUUCUUGUGUAAUUCUUGUGCUGUCUAUGCCAAUCCUCACUUCCUUGAGCUGUAUUUAUAGCGUUUCAGACGGUCCUAUUUGUGCACUUAUUGAUAGUUACACUUAACCUUAUCUAUGGUAGUAGGAUGCUCUGUCCCGUUAUUCUUUCUUUUUAUUAAAUAAGUGGAGCUUGAAUAAGAGAUUCAUCAAUUAUUUAUGCCAUUUGUGCGGUAGAAGCCUCACUGGAAUCUGGUAACUUUCGGUUUUGAUUGAAAUACUCAUAUAACGAUGAAAUUGUGGAAGCAUCCUACUAUGAAAAAAGAAAUACAUACAGUGACAGGAGUACUUCUGUCAGAUCUCGGAAAUUGCUCAACUCGAUUAACUCUGAAAUUAAAUAUUGGCACACAUGAACCAAACCACAAAAAACUGAGCUUCUCAUGAAUCGUUGAACAAGUAUAUUCUGGAAACUGAACUAGAAAAUUCGUCACAAGAUCUGCCUGUAUAAAUAAACUUAUAAUUACUUUCAAGGCUGUUAAAUUUUAUAAUAUAUGUUCGUGAAAAAAUAUUCCUAAUCCAGAAUACCAACUACCACAGGUUGUUUCUGACCAUUAUUGGUAACCUUUUUGCCCAGAUACCGACCAAAUUAAGUUAUUUCUAAGUAAACACAUAAUUUAAGAAAUGAACCACAUUUCCGACCGCUAGUGUAUGAAAUCCGGUCGGUAAUGACUUCACGGUCGGAAAUGAAUUUAGUUUGUUGGAUUUAAAACAGCGAAUCCCCAAAUGAUCCUGCAAUACCUUCUGACUGAAUUUUUUUUAAAAAAAAACCCUUCUGACCGACUCAUUUCCGACCAACUCAGUUGGUCGCUUUUAUAAUAGGGGCUCCCCAAUUGAACCUUGAAUUUCGUUUUGACCGAAUCAUUUCCGACCAACGUUAUUGGUUGGUUUUAAAACAGGGCCCCAAAUGAACCCUAAAAUUUAUUUCCGACCGCCCCUAGUUGCUUUUAGGUCUAUUCAAGUGUAUGCCAGGUUCUAAGAAAAUUUUAAAACAUUACCGACUAAAGAUAGCGGUCGGUUGUCGGUCGGUUAUAAAUAUCAUUUCCGAUCUUUUAUUUACAACCAGGUUUUAAAGGACCAACACAAUCGGUCGGUCGGUGGUCGGUUACGAGUUGAAAACCGACCAACUCUCUUUAUUUCCGGUCGGCGGUCGGAAAUGCCCGCUUUUCUUGUAGUGAUAGCAACUUCCAUCGGAACACAAUAUCUUACACUUUUUAAGUCAUAAAUCACUGUUUUAAACUUUCCAAACAGCUUCCAAGUAUCAUAUUAAGCUUAUCUGAUGGCCCUUGUACUCGAAACAGAAUAAAACAUAUACAAACGAACACCACCAGAGCAAGGGUGUAGCCAAAAAGCUCAGAAAUUGCGUUAAAACCUUUUUAACAUCUUUGUGCGAGGGAGUAACUAAACAAAAGGUGAUUAAAGCACUCUGCUUAAAGUGUCAACGAAACUAAGUUCGUGUACACUUGAAUGAAAUUGAAAAAAAGAAUGAAAUGGAAAAUUGUUCGUAAAUUUAAUGGAAAAUGAACAAGUUACGAGCAGUGUUACGAAAAUUGGACCUAAUCGGUUAUCCUACCCAUUCAGGAUUAUCGGCAAUACGUGAUUAAUCGGAAGGAUUAAUUGGAGUGAAAACCAGAUAUAUUUUAAUAUUAAAUAAUAUUUAAUAUUUUUUUAUUAUUAUAUUAGUUAUUUAUUAUCAAAUAUAUAUAUUUAGUAUAUCAUAAAUUCUACGGUUGUUCAUAUUUAAAGUAAUAUAAUAGUUAAUUUUAAUAAAUUUUAUAUAUAAUUUGAUUAAAAAAAAUUUAUAAGGAUUAAUCAGAUUUUAAAAAUCAUAUCGGUCGCCUACCUUGGGGGAUUGAUCGUUAAAUCAAGCGAUUUUUAGAACAAUGGAUACGAGACAAUAGUGACUAAACACGGAUGAGCCUAAAUUUAGUGUACUCUUAGACUUUGCUGAGAGAAUGAAAUGAAAAUUGUAUUAUAUUUUGGGGAGGUUGGAGUAAAUGUUUAUAAUUUUCAUUACUUCUAUCAUUCUACACACCAUUCUACGUACACCAUUUGAGUUAAAAAAAUCUAACCCACAUAUUUUGAAAGGAAUGCUCGAUUCCAUUUCAUCUAACCCACAUAUUUUGAAAGGAAUGCUCGAUUCCAUUUCUUCUCUAUUUUCCAACAAUCCCCGUCAUGCAAAAUUCAGAUUCUCGAACUCACUCACUAUUGUCUAAUACAUUCUCCUUUCUCUUUUGUAGUUUCUCAUUCCAAGUGAACGCAACUUUAGUGUGCUUAAUUAAACAAACAUCAGCACACAACAAUAUACAGUUCCUCAUUAUGUUUAACUUAUCUUUUAGUCAGAUCUUUAAGUUGAAAGUGCUAAAGUGACAGUAGAGACCUUGAAGCAAUUACGAGCUAAACGUUAUAAUAGCUUGAACACUCCUUACUUUAACUUUUUAUAUAUUAAAAGCACCAACAUAUUGGCGAUUAUUUCACACAUUCCAUAUCAGCCACACCAGAUAGUUGAUGUUGGCAAUUGGAAAUUAUUUAGUACAUGAUGAUAAUCAGAUUCAUGUUUAGCAGUUAACUGGGGCAAUGACAGCACCAACGACAGUAAGGCCAGUCUUCCAGGUGGUUCCAUCACAUCCAUUCAUCGAGAACUUGACAAUAUUCUCACAGCCGCAGGGGGCUGUGUUGCAGAAUUCACCAACCUUAAGCCCCACCAAUGUAUUCUUUGGCUUGGUCGUCAAAUCUUCCUUGUGCUCUUCAGUAGUGCCGUUGGGACGAGUAAGCUUAAGGGUCACUGGACCGUUCAUGCAAAGAUUGUCGCUAAGCUCCACAGCAAGAUACACUCCGUAUUUCACUCCCUUGAUGAGGUUGGUGGCACUGUACUUUCCGUCAAUUUGUAGCCAGCAUACUGUGAUGAGUUCAGCAACCUCCAGAGGCUGGGGACUGUGUGUACAAAAGUCCGAAAACCCAAAUAUCAUGUAAAAAUUUGUCUCAAAUCUUUGGUCUCGAAAAUUGGAAGUCAAUGUCCAGUCAUUAAAUUCCAACAUGUGCUAUAUAUACAUACCUGAUUGGGUAUUUCUUAGAAACCCAUUUCCAGUAGCGGCAGUCUGAACCCCAAACUAUUGAGAGUUCCUUUGCACAGAUAACCGCAGCGAAGGACUGGACCAUUUAAUCAACAUUAACGGAGAUAUUUCCGAAUCAAAAUAUAUCGUACAAAAUUAUAUGACUAAUUAGACUAUAAUUAAGAACAAGUCACUGGUGUGUGCAUGGUGCAUGACAGUACUAAUAAUAUUGCAGAAUUAUAAUUUCAUUACCUAAAUAAAAAAAGUAGUGAAAAUUAACAACCAAAAUAACUUACACUCUUGUCUUUCGCAGCCUGGACACCUUGAGUCCACAACGACACGAUGUCAUCACGCUGCAAUUGAGCCAUCUGCCUUGCGAGUUGAGAAUAAGAAGUUGUUGUGUAAUUCUUGUGCUGUCGAUGCCAAUCCUCACUUCCUUGAGCUGUAUUUAUAGCGUUUCAGACGGUCCUAUUUGUCCACUUAUUGAUAGUUACACUUAACCUUAUCUACGGUAGUAGGAUGCUCUGUCCCGUUAUUCUUUCUUUUUAUAAAAUAAGUGGAGCUUGGAUAAGAGAUUCAUCAAUUAUUUAUGCCAUUUGUGCGGUAGAAGCCUCACUGGAAUCUGGUAACUUUUGGUUUUGAUUGAAAUACUCAUAUAACGACGAAAUUGUGGAAGCAUCCUACUAUGAGAAAAGAAAUACAGUGACAGGAGUACUUCUGUCAGAGCUAGGAGCCUAGGACAUUACUCAACUCGAGUAACUCUGAAAUUUAAUAUUGGCACAGAUGAACCAAACCACGAAACAUUGAGCUUCUCAGUAAUUGUUGAACCAGAAUUUUCUGGCAACUGAACUAGAAAAUUCGUCACAAGAUCUUGCUGUAUAUAUAAAUAAACUUAUAAUUACUUUCAAGGCUGUUAAAUUUCAUAAUAUAUGUUUGUGAAUAAAUAUUGAAUUAGUUGUUGAGUGAGUGUCAACCCUAGUCCCACGGAAAGAUAAAUAAGAUUUGUCUUAAACUUUAUUAGUAUGAGGUCUUCUGGGAGGAGUUUAAAAACAAAUCCGUGCGGGCUUGUGGAGUUGACAUGUGUUGCGCGGCCAAUAUUAGUAGCCAAGGAGAAGUUUAAUUGAUCAUAGGUGAAAUGGGGUCUGGGUACAUCCACUAAUUUCAAGGACAAGCCUGCAAUGGAAGAAUGAAAUCUGUCACAAAUGGAAUUGCAUAUGUCAUUUUUGACGGUUAAAUCCGUCAAAACUUUUCUCCAUUGCUAGGUUAAAGGGUUGUGUUACUUGUGUAGUUAACAGAACUGCCGCAUGGAAUUCAUCUAGUACUUGUAUAUGUUCCAGAUUCUCUCGCUGUCACUGUACUGUUGUAAUUUUAUUGAUGAUUUUUUCGAAACAUAUUUAUUUAAUAUUCAUUCACCAUUUUUGUUUGGCCAUAUUUUCUUGGCUUAAAGCAAGUGCUAGAAUAAAAGUAACAGUUACGACCCAAGCAGUAAAAUUGAAGGAACACUCCUUACUUUAACUUAUUAUUCAUUAAAACACCAACAUAUUGGCGAUUAUUUCACACAUUCCACAUCAGCCACACCAGAUAAGUGAUGUUGGAAAUUAGAAAUUAUUUAGUACAUGAUGAUUAUCAGAUUCAUGUUUAGCAGAUAACUGGGGCAAUGACAGCACCAAUGACAGUAAGGCCAGUCUUCCAGGAGGUUCCAUCACAUCCAUUCAUCGAGAACUUGACGGUUUUCUCACAGCCGCAGGCCGGGUUGGUGAAUUCACCCACCUUAAGUCCCACCCAUGUAUUUUUCGGCUUGGUAUGCAAAUCAUCGU